GUCGACGAGAGAAUUGCUAGCUUGCUAAUAAUUCUCUAGUGGCGCACGGGUGAGCAACACGUGAGUAACCUGCCCCCGAGAGCGGGAUAGCCCUGGGAAACUGGGAUUAAUACCGCAUAGUAUCGAAAGAUUAAAGCAGCAAUGCGCUUGGGGAUGGGCUCGCGGCCUAUUAGUUAGUUGGUGAGGUAACGGCUCACCAAGGCGAUGACGGGUAGCCGGUCUGAGAGGAUGUCCGGCCACACUGGAACUGAGACACGGUCCAGACACCUACGGGUGGCAGCAGUCGAGAAUCAUUCACAAUGGGGGAAACCCUGAUGGUGCGACGCCGCGUGGGGGAAUGAAGGUCUUCGGAUUGUAAACCCCUGUCAUGUGGGAGCAAAUUAAAAAGAUAGUACCACAAGAGGAAGAGACGGCUAACUCUGUGCCAGCAGCCGCGGUAAUACAGAGGUCUCAAGCGUUGUUCGGAAUCACUGGGCGUAAAGCGUGCGUAGGCUGUUUCGUAAGUCGUGUGUGAAAGGCGCGGGCUCAACCCGCGGACGGCACAUGAUACUGCGAGACUAGAGUAAUGGAGGGGGAACCGGAAUUCUCGGUGUAGCAGUGAAAUGCGUAGAUAUCGAGAGGAACACUCGUGGCGAAGGCGGGUUCCUGGACAUUAACUGACGCUGAGGCACGAAGGCCAGGGGAGCGAAAGGGAUUAGAUACCCCUGUAGUCCUGGCAGUAAACGGUGCACGCUUGGUGUGCGGGGAAUCGACCCCCUGCGUGCCGGAGCUAACGCGUUAAGCGUGCCGCCUGGGGAGUACGGUCGCAAGAUUAAAACUCAAAGAAAUUGACGGGGACCCGCACAAGCGGUGGAGUAUGUGGCUUAAUUCGAUGCAACGCGAAGAACCUUACCUGGGCUUGACAUGUA
rnacentral:rRNA from 1 species